GCCUAGUUAGCUUAGUUGGUGGCGCGUCUGCCUUGUAAGCGCUAGGCCGCGGGUUCGAUUCCCGCCCGGGGCG
rfam:Asian citrus Psyllid, Diaphorina citri - Florida Strain, whole genome shotgun sequence.